AAUGAACGCUGGCGGCGCGCCUAAUACAUGCAAGUCGAGCGAGAAGACGUAGCAAUACGUUUGUAAAGCGGCGAACGGGUGAGGAAUACAUGGGUAACCUACCCUCGAGUGGGGAAUAACUAGCCGAAAGGUUAGCUAAUACCGCGUACGCUUCUUGGACUUCGGUUCAGGGAGGAAAGCGAUGCCGAGGGUAUCGCGCUCUUGGAUGGGCUCAUGUCCUAUCAGCUUGUUGGNGAGGUAACGG
rnacentral:rRNA from 1 species